UAUCUGGGUGGUCCUUUUCCUUCCUUGAAGGGCAUUAAGAAAUGUUCUUUAACUCUGUAGUCCUCUUUACUAAUAGUUCAGUUCUGAAUUCUAGAUAAUUAACCCAAUUCAAAUUCUGCAGCAAAAGUGCUGCAUUAUCCUGAGAAUGAUGUAAUCCACAGCUACAAGAAAUUCUGAGUCAUUCCAUUUCAAACAGUGGUGUCGCCAGUGACCCAUGAUCAAUUCUGACCUCCACUGACGUCUGCACAUUCUUCCUGUGGCAGGCAACUUCAGUUUCAACCAGGUGCUCUCGUUUCCUCCUGCCUUCUAAAGACGUGCUGCUAUUGAUCUACAAGAACAAAUCUUACCUGUGUCUGGAUACAGGCUGGGUCCACCAAGUUCUGACAAGCCAUCUGGAUAGCUUGGUUGGCACGGGCAAACUGAGCUGGAUCUACUAAUCCCUGCUGGCCGGCAUGACUGUUUGGAUCCGAUAUUCCUACAAGGUGGCUGGGGUCCUGUUGGUGUCUAGAAUCUACAUAUGCAGCUCAAACUAUGGUUCUUCGUGGGUGGUCGGUUCUCACAUUUGGAACUCGCCAAGCACCCUAGUAUUUCAAUAUCUCCAGGUGCAGCCUGGAAGACGUGCGCCUUUGGGGUGCGGCCCUGUGAUCAACCCGAUUCCUCACAGCCAUAGCUGACUGAAGUGCCACGGGAGACUGAAACAUCGAGACAGCAGGCGGUGUAUGCUGCUGCACUUGAGCAAUCUCUCAUUCUUUCUCUCGAGGGAGAGCGAGAGUCCGUUGGUCUUCGAGUCGGGGAACUCAGACAAGCGACGCAGCAGAUUGGAACAUCGAAACAGCGAGCCGUUGGUCUCCCCUGUCGCUGUUGCAGGACCGAUAUCUCUCUAUCCCCCUCACUAGUGAGAGGGAGAGGGCCUGUUUCAGACGGCCAGGUGUUGGGAUGGACAGUGGUUUUUGAUGGUCUCUGAGGCUUUGCUAUU